rnacentral:rRNA from 1 species
GAUGAACGCUGGCGGCGUGCCUAACACAUGCAAGUCGAGCGAUUCUCUUCGGAGAAGAGCGGCGGACGGGUGAGUAACGCGUGGGUAACCUGCCCUGUACACACGGAUAACAUACCGAAAGGUAUGCUAAUACGAGAUAAUAUGCUUUUAUCGCAUGGUAGAAGUAUCAAAGCUUUUGCGGUACAGGAUGGACCCGCGUCUGAUUAGCUAGUUGGUAAGGUAACGGCUUACCAAGGCGACGAUCAGUAGCCGACCUGAGAGGGUGAUCGGCCACAUUGGAACUGAGACACGGUCCAAACUCCUACGGGAAGCAGCAGUGGGGAAUAUUGCACAAUGGGCGAAAGCCUGAUGCAGCAACGCCGCGUGAGCGAUGAAGGCCUUCGGGUCGUAAAGUUCUGUCCUCAAGGAAGAUAAUGACGGUACUUGAGGAGGAAGCCCCGGCUAACUACGUG